UCCCCCCAAGGGUGCUGGUGUGGUCACAGCCUGGAGGCUGCUGGACCGUAUAUGGCUGAGUAAGCCAGAUCUAAUCCCAUGUGUGAACGGCGCUCUAUAGGUUAGGUACAGACAACAUGUGUAUUAGGGGCUAGAGGCUGGCA